UUUCCCCUACGGGAGGCAGCAGUGGGGAAUAUUGCACAAUGGGGGAAACCCUGAUGCAGCGACGCCGCGUGAGUGAAGAAGUAAUUCGUUAUGUAAAGCUCUAUCAGCAGGGAAGAAAAUGACGGUACCUGAGUAAGAAGCCCCGGCUAACUACGUGCCAGCAGCCGCGGUAAUACGUAGGUGGCAAGCGUUAUCCGGAUUUAUUGGGUGUAAAGGGCGUGUAGGCGGGAAAGCAAGUCAGA
rnacentral:rRNA from 1 species